CCGGGCACCUGAGCAGGAAACCUUCCGGCGGCCGCGGCCCGAGCCCCGCCGCCGCCCGCGGUCCCGUUGGCCCCUCCGCUGCUGCUGGAAGAAGUUCAGCAAUGCUGAUAAUAAAAGAACAGUGAAAACAAAAGAACCAGGAAUGCAAUAGAAGCCAACUUGAGCUGAAUUAGCCCUUCUGCAUCCGUCACUCCAACCCUGGAGGAAGAGUAGAGUUGGAAACGCUAAGGACAAUCCAGCCUGACCUUCAGUUGCCGGGUAAAAACUGUGGUGCAGAGAAAGCGGACCCGAUGUAGGAGACCUAUCUGGUUAUAGUCUGGGACCCAAACUAAAUAACUGGAGUGGGCAAAAUUAUUUUACCUUUUUUGACUUUAGUUUCCUUCCUGGGACGUUUGUAUUAAAUUUCUAGGGUGUGUGCAGGUUUAAAAUCUGAUAAUUUCUCUAAGAUGGACUUUAAAGUAUCAGCCUAUUCCUGUGACUUAGUAUUUUGGUAGCAGACCAUGCUCUGGUCUGUAUGUCCGGUGGCCAGCCUGCUCCAGACCCUCGCAUUUUGAAAAUGCCUAAGUGCUGUAUAUAAAAAAAUAAUAGCAGCUGGUGUUUUUUGUACAAACUACAGAAAUAAAUACUUUGUCUUUA